rnacentral:rRNA from 1 species
UACGGGGGGAGCAAGCGUUGUUCGGAAUCACUGGGCGUAAAGGGCGCGUAGGCGGUUUGACAAGUCUGAUGUGAAAUCUCUGGGCUCAACCCAGAGUCUGCAUUAGAAACUGUCGGGCUUGAGUAUGGGAGAGGUGAGUGGAAUUUCCGGUGUAGCGGUGAAAUGCGUAGAUAUCGGAAGGAACACCUGUGGCGAAAGCGGCUCACUGGACCAUAACUGACGCUGAGGCGCGAAAGCUAGGGGAGCAAACAGG